AACGAACGUUAGCGGCGCGCUUAACACAUGCAAGUCGAGCGAGAAAGGGGCAACCCCGGUAAAGCGGCGCACGGGUGAGUAACACGUAGGUAAUCUACCCUCGGGUGGAGGAUAACUUUCCGAAAGGAAGGCUAAUACUGCAUGAGACCACGACCUCGAAAGGGGAUGGGGUCAAAAACCGGCCUCUGUACACAAGCUGGCGCCUGAGGAUGAGCCUGCGGCCCAUCAGCUAGUUGGUAGGGUAAUGGCCUACCAAGGCGAAGACGGGUAGCUGGUCUGAGAGGAUGAUCAGCCACACUGGAACUGAGACACGGUCCAGACUCCUACGGGAGGCAGCAGUGGGGAAUCUUGCGCAAUGGGCGAAAGCCUGACGCAGCGACGCCGCGUGAGUGAUGAAGGCCUUCGGUUGUAAAGACUCUGUGGUAGGAGGGACGGAAGUAAGUAGUUGGUCGUAACAU
rnacentral:rRNA from 1 species